CAGCAGCCGCGGUAAUACAGAGUGUGCAAGCGUUAAUCGGAAUUACUGGGCGUAAAGCGCGCGUAGGUGGUUCGCCAAGUUGGAUGUGAAAUCCCCGGGCUCAACCUGGGAACUGCAUCCAAAACUGGCGAGCUAGAGUAUGGUAGAGGGUGGUGGAAUUUCCUGUGUAGCGGUGAAAUGCGUAGAUAUAGGAAGGAACAUCAGUGGCGAAGGCGACCACCUGGACUGAUACUGACACUGAGGUGCGAAAGCGUGGGGAGCAAACAGGAUUAGAUACCCCAGUAGUCCCUGUCUCUUAUAC
rnacentral:rRNA from 1 species